GACGAACGCUGGCGGCGUGCUUAACACAUGCAAGUCGAACGAUGAAGCCGGAGCUUGCUCUGGUGAAUUAGUGGCGAACGGGUGAGUAACACGUGAGUAACCUGCCCUUGACUCUGGGAUAACUGCUAGAAAUGGUAGCUAAUACCGGAUACGACCCUCGGAGGCAUCUCCAGGGGGUGGAAAGUUGUUCGGUCUGGGAUGGGCCCGCGGCCUAUCAGCUUGUUGGUGAGGUAGCGGCUCACCAAGGCGACGACGGGUAGCCCGCCUGAGAGGGCGAACGGCCAAACGGGGACUGAGACACGGCCCAGACUCCUACGGGAGGCAGCAGUGGGGAAUAUUGCGCAAUGGGCGAAAGCCUGACGCAGCAACGCCGCGUGCGGGAUGAAGGCCUUCGGGUUGUAAACCGCCUUCAGCAGGGAAGAAGCGAAAGUGACGGUACCUGCAGAAGAAGCACCGGCUAACUACGUGCCAGCCGCCGCCGUAA
rnacentral:rRNA from 1 species